rnacentral:rRNA from 1 species
AAUGCAGUGCCCGAACAGGGCGUUGUAAUUGGAAUGAGAACAAUUUAAAUCCCUUAUCGAUUAACAAUUAGAGGGCAAGUCUGGUGCCAGCAGCCGCGGUAAUUCCAGCUCUAAUAGCGUAUAUUAAAGUUGUUGCAGUUAAAAAGCUCGUAGUUGGAUUUCGGCGUGCGCUCAGGCUGGUCGGCCGUCAAGGUCUGUACCGUUUGGGUCACGCCCCACUGUAGGAUACUCACCGCUGUCCUUAACUGGGUGGCGGUCAAAGGGGGUGUGCAUGGGGGCAACUCUGUGCAUAUCUCUGGGGUUCCUACUCUUUUACUUUGAGCAAAUUAGAGUGUUCAAAGCAGGCAAUCGAGCCUUGAAUACUUCAGCAUGGGAUAAUGGAACAGGACUGGGGUCCUGAUUUCGUUGGUUUCUGGGAUCUCAGUAAUGAUUAAUAGGGAUAGUUGGGGGCAUUAGUAUUUAAUUGUCAGAGGUGAAAUUCUUGGAUUUAUGAAAGACUAACUUCUGCGAAAGCAUUUGCCAAGGAUGUUUUCAUUAAUCAAGAACGAAAGUUAGGGGAUCGAAGACGAUCAGAUACCGUCGUAGUCUUAACCAUAAACGAUGCCGACCAGCGAUUGGGAGACGUUACAUGGAUGACUCCCCCAGCAGCUUGCGAGAAAUCACAAGUCUUUGGGUUCCGGGGGGAGUAUGGUCGCAAGGCUGAAACUUAAAGGAAUUGACGGAAGGGCACCACCAGGAGUGGAGCCUGCGGCUUGAUUUGACCCAACACGGGGAAACUUACCAGGUCCAGACAUAGUAAGGAUUGACAGAUUUGAGAGCUCUUUCUUGAUUCUAUGGGUGGUGGUGCAUGGCCGUUCUUAGUUGGUGGAGUGGUUUGUCUGGUUAAUUCCGUUAACGAACGAGACCUUAACCUGCUAAAUAUGUCACUGGUAGACUUCUGCCAAAACAGGUGGGUGUCUAGGGGAAAGUUUCGAUGGACUCCGACGCAUUCAUCUGUGGAUGACUACCAGGAUGUACUUCUUAGAGGGACUAUCUGUAUCAAAGCAGAUGGAAGUUUGAGGCAAUAACAGGUCUGUGAUGCCCUUAGAUGUUCUGGGCCGCACGCGCGCUACACUGACAAGUUCAACGAGUUUAACACCUUGCUCGAUAGGGCUGGGUAAUCUUUGAAAAACUUGUCGUGAUGGGGAUAGAUCAUUGUAAUUAUUGGUCUUCAACGAGGAAUUCCUAGUAAGCGUGAGUCAUCAGCUCGCGUUGAUUACGUCCCUGCCCUUUGUACACACCGCCCGUCGCUCCUACCGAUUGAAUGAUCCGGUGAAAUGUUGGGAGCUGGGGUCUUUUGGCGGCGGGGCAACUCGUCGUCAGGGAUUCUGCAAACUUCAUUAAACCUUAUCAUUUAGA